UAAUUUGUUUAGGGCAGAUUCUUAUUUAGUUAUGAUAGACACACAUGGAUACUUAGGAUCACUUGUUAUCACAAGUCUUUCUAGAUCAUUGACAUUGAAAAAUAGAUAACAACUACUGUGUGAAUAAAAAAAAU
rnacentral:pre_miRNA from 13 species